CUUAUCACUAGAUAUGGCUUUUGCCAAGUUUAAACCGCUUGGCGAAUAAGGGGUGGGUAAGACUGGUGCCAGCCGCCGCGGUAACACCAGCGCCCCGAGUGGCAAUCGCGAUUAUUGGGCCUAAAGCGUUCGUAGCAGGUCUUGUAAAUCUUUUGUGAAAUCGGCAAGCUUAACUUGUCGGCGUGCAGAGGACACUGCGAGACUCGAGACCGGGAGAAGUCAGAAGUGUUCCUUGGGUACCGGUAAAAUGGGUUAAUCCAAGGAGGACUACCAAUGGCGAAGGCAUCUGACUAGAACGGAUCUGACUGUGAGGAACGAAAGCCAGGGGAGCAAAACGGAUUAGAUACCCGAGUAGUCCUGGCCGUAAACGCUGCGAGCAAGGUAUUGUGUAUCCCACGAGGAUGUGCAGUGUCGAAGCGAAGGCGUUAAGCUCGCCGCCAGGGAAGUACGGUCGCAAGGCUGAAACUUUAAGGAAUUGGCGGGGGAGCAC
rnacentral:rRNA from 1 species